rnacentral:rRNA from 1 species
CGGCAGGCCUAACACAUGCAAGUCGAACGGUAACAGGAAGAAGCUUGCUUCUUUGCUGACGAGUGGCGGACGGGUGAGUAAUGUCUGGGAAACUGCCUGAUGGAGGGGGAUAACUACUGGAAACGGUAGCUAAUACCGCAUAACGUCGCAAGACCAAAGAGGGGGACCUUCGGGCCUCUUGCCAUCGGAUGUGCCCAGAUGGGAUUAGCUUGUUGGUGGGGUAACGGCUCACCAAGGCGACGAUCCCUAGCUGGUCUGAGAGGAUGACCAGCCACACUGGAACUGAGACACGGUCCAGACUCCUACGGGAGGCAGCAGUGGGGAAUAUUGCACAAUGGGCGCAAGCCUGAUGCAGCCAUGCCGCGUGUAUGAAGAAGGCCUUCGGGUUGUAAAGUACUUUCAGCGGGGAGGAAGGGAGUAAAGUUAAUACCUUUGCUCAUUGACGUUACCCGCAGAAGAAGCACCGGCUAACUCCGUGCCAGCAGCCGCGGUAAUACGGAGGGUGCAAGCGUUAAUCGGAAUUACUGGGCGUAAAGCGCACGCAGGCGGUUUGUUAAGUCAGAUGUGAAAUCCCCGGGCUCAACCUGGGAACUGCAUCUGAUACUGGCAAGCUUGAGUCUCGUAGAGGGGGGUAGAAUUCCAGGUGUAGCGGUGAAAUGCGUAGAGAUCUGGAGGAAUACCGGUGGCGAAGGCGGCCCCCUGGACGAAGACUGACGCUCAGGUGCGAAAGCGUGGGGGAGCAAACAGGAUUAGAUACCCUGGUAGUCCACGCCGUAAACGAUGUCGACUUGGAGGUUGUGCCCUUGAGGCGUGGCUUCCGGAGCUAACGCGUUAAGUCGACCGCCUGGGGAGUACGGCCGCAAGGUUAAAACUCAAAUGAAUUGACGGGGGCCCGCACAAGCGGUGGAGCAUGUGGUUUAAUUCGAUGCAACGCGAAGAACCUUACCUGGUCUUGACAUCCACAGAACUUUCCAGAGAUGGAUUGGUGCCUUCGGGAACUGUGAGACAGGUGCUGCAUGGCUGUCGUCAGCUCGUGUUGUGAAAUGUUGGGUUAAGUCCCGCAACGAGCGCAACCCUUAUCCUUUGUUGCCAGCGGUCCGGCCGGGAACUCAAAGGAGACUGCCAGUGAUAAACUGGAGGAAGGUGGGGAUGACGUCAAGUCAUCAUGGCCCUUACGACCAGGGCUACACACGUGCUACAAUGGCGCAUACAAAGAGAAGCGACCUCGCGAGAGCAAGCGGACCUCAUAAAGUGCGUCGUAGUCCGGAUUGGAGUCUGCAACUCGACUCCAUGAAGUCGGAAUCGCUAGUAAUCGUGGAUCAGAAUGCCACGGUGAAUACGUUCCCGGGCCUUGUACACACCGCCCGUCACACCAUGGGAGUGGGUUGCAAAAGAAGUAGGUAGCUUAACCUUCGGGAGGGCGCUUACCACUUUGUGAUUCAUGACUGGGGUGAAGUC